rnacentral:rRNA from 1 species
GUGUCAGCAGCCGCGGUAAUACCGGCAGUACGAGUGAUGACCGCUAUUAUUGGGCCUAAAGCGUCCGUAGCUGGCCACGCAAGUUCGUCGGGAAAUCUGCGCGCUUAACGCGCAGGCGUCCGGUGGAAACUGUGUGGCUUGGGACCGGAAGACCAGAGGGGUACGUCCGGGGUAGGAGUGAAAUCCCGUAAUCCUGGACGGACCACCGGUGGCGAAAGCGCCUCUGGAAGACGGAUCCGACGGUGAGGGACGAAAGCUCGGGUCACGAACCGGAUUAGAUACCCUCGUAGUCC